AUGGCCGGCGGUUGCGUGGACCGCCUGUCCUCGCUCCCCAACGACCUCCUCCGCCGCAUCCUCCACUUCGCCCCACUCAAGGAGGCAGCCUCCACCACCGCGCUCUCCCGCCGUUGGCGAGAGCCGCUCUGGCUCUCCUCGGGCGCCGUAAACCUCGAGACGGGCGUCGUCGAGAAAAAGAAACACCGCCGACAACAAGGGCACGAGCAAGACAACGCCCACGCCCGCUUCUUCUCCGGGAGCGACGACAUGGUCUCCGCGGCCACGGGAGCGCUCGACGCCGCCACCGUUCCCGUCACAAGGCUCACUUUAAUCACCUGGUACCCUGUCAGCGACCAUUACGAGGUCGUGUCAUCCUACAAAGACAUGGUCGAGGUCGUGCUCUCCAACCGGGCGACGCGCCGCGUCGAGGAGCUCCUGCUCACCGCCAAAGAUCCUUCCGGCAGCCCCUAUGAUCGGUGGGUAUUCAAUUGCACAGUCACCCUCGACUCGCUGCAGUUGGUGGCACUGCGGAUCCUAGAACUCACCAACUGCAGUGGAGUACUAGUCUACCACACGGAGGCCGUGCUCCCACGGCUGUCCUCCCUAAGGCUGAGCCAUUGCACCCAGCAACUAGGAUCCCUCCAACGCGUUAUUGACGCGGCGCCGUCGCUCGCUGCCGUCCGACUCGAGUAUGUCUUCAUAACACACGAGGAAGCCAUAGAAGCCACAUGGCGCCACUUCCGAUGUCCUGCAACCACCGUGCUUGUGCUUGACAGUUGCAAGUGGGAGGUGACAAUAGGGCAUAGACACGGCUGGUUCUUCAAGAAGACCGUCUAUCGACUGAAGAUCGACGCGAUGAGGCUGCGCCGAUUUAGCUACAAGGGGCCACUCCGCUCCUACUCAUUCAGUCCACAGCCCCUCGAGUUUGAACAAGUGGAUCUGGAAUUUUUCGAGCAAGGCUACAGGGUAAAGGAUCCAAACCGUGACUUAGAAACCUUCUGGAAAUUCACUCGGAACUUCACUGGUACCAAGGAGAUGAGGCUGAGUGUGAACCACCUCGAGGAUAUCGCCGUCCUCAGCGAGGCAAGGCAGAUCGAGCUCCUGCCGGCGUUCGGUCGCCUCGAGCGUCUCGAAUUUCAAGGAGCACAUUGGACCAAAGACAAGACUGCAGCAGUGACGACCAUCUUGAACCUGCUCCACUGCUGUCCUGUGCUCAUUACCCUCCGAAUCAACCUCACCGCAAAGUACGAGGAGGAGGAUGCGUCGAAUAAACAAGGGGGACACAAACAGAAAGGAACUACUCGGAAGGAAAUUCUUAUGGCUGCCAUGGUAGGUCCACGCUACUUAUUCCAAUGCUUGCAGAGCUCCCUGAGGAGAGUGGACUUACAGUUCCAGCUAGAGAAGAAGGACUGUCUUGGUGUCAAGCUGAUAAAAACUUUCGCCGAGAAUGCGAUGUUUCUUAAAGAAAUACUUAUUGACAGUGGAGACGAAAAGUUGUGUGAGCACAUGAAGCCCAGGAUUGCAAAGUGGAACUCGAGCAGGAAAGAGUUAGGGGCCACAAGUUUCGUGCUCUUACCUCUUAAGAGGUGA
rnacentral:rRNA from 1 species